rnacentral:lncRNA from 1 species
AAAUGAUGGAUUUCCAUCUUACAAUUGAAUGCAAGUAGGUUGCAAGGUUGAUGGAAAGUAGAAAAGUUUCCUGACUUGCGUGAACAGAAAAGAAACAUCAAUUUGAAAGGAAACCAUUUAUUUAUUUACUUCCUCUACAGUUUUCCUGACUGCUACAUUUCAUAAGAAGGGAUUGUUUAUGAGGGUCAAGGAGCUGGAGGCCUGGGGAGGAGCUGGUGUUUCUGUUCAAGUUUGAGGGUCCUGGAGCUGGAGCCCAGGGGAGGAGCCAGUGCUGCCACUGAUGUCUUAGGGUCGUGGAGCUGAAGAUCCCAGAGGAGCCGGUGCUGCUAUUCUAGCUUGAGUUUCGUGGAGCUGGAGACCCAGGGAGAAGAUGGUGCUGCUGUUCUAAUUUAAGGAUCGUGAAACAGAAGACCCAGAAAGGAGCUGGUGCUGCCGCUGCUCAGAUCUGAGGGUGUUGGAGCUGGAGCCUGGGGGUGGAGCCAUUGCUGCCAUUGAAGUGUGAGAGUCAUUGAGCUGGAAGUCCAGGAAGCAGCUGGUGCUGCUGUUCUAGUUUGAGGGUUGUGGAGUGCAGACCCAGGCAGGAGCAACAUUGCUGUAGUUCGAGGGUCAGAAAGCUGGCGACCCAGGGAGGAGAGGUCUUGUUCUAGUUUGAUUUUCGUGGAGCUGCAGACCCAGGCAGGAGCAAUGUUGCUGUAGUUCGAGGGUCCGGUAGCUGGCAACCCGGGGAGGAGAAGUCUUGUUCGAGUUUGAGGGUCGUGGAGCUGCCGACCCAGGGAGGAGCAAUUUGGUUGUAAUUUGAGGGUCCAGAAGCUGGAGACCCAGGGAGGAGAGAGAUCUUGUUCUGGUCUGAGGGUUGUGGAGCCACAGACCCAGGGAGGAGCAAUUUUGUUGUAAUUUGAGGGUCAGGAAGCUGGCGACCCAGGGAGGAGAGGUCUUGUUCUAGUUUGAGGGUCGUGGAGCUGCCGACCCAGGGAGGAGCAAUUUUGUUGUAAUUCGAGGAUCAGGAAGCUGGCGACCCAGUGGAGGAGAGGUCUUGUUCUGGUCUGAGGGUCAUGGAGCUGCAGACCCAGGGAGGAGCAAUGUUGUUGUAAUUCGAGGGUGUGGUAGCUGGCAACCUGGGGAGGAGAAGUCUUGUUCGAGUUUGAGGCUCGUGGAGCUGCCGACCAGGGAGGAGCAAUUUUGUUGCAGUUCGAGGGUCAGGAAGCUGGCGACCCAGGGAGGAGAGGUCUUGUUCUGGUCUGAGGGUCAUGGAGCUACAUACCCAGGGAGGAGCAAUGUUGUUGUAAUUCGAGGGUGUGGUAGCUGGCAACCUGGGGAGGAGAAGUCUUCUUCGAGUUUGAGGCUCGUGGAGUUGCCGACCAGGGACGAGCAAUUUUGUUGUAGUUCGUGGGUCAGGAAUCUGGCGACCCAGGGAGGAGAGGUCUUGUUUUAGUUUGAGGGUUGUGGAACUGCAGACCCAGGCAGGAGCAAUGUUGUUGUAAUUCAAGGGUCCGGAAGCUGGAGACCCCGGGAGGAGAGGUCUUGUUCUAAUUUGAGGGUCGUAGAGCUGCGGAACCAGGGAGGAGCAAUGUUGUUGUAAUUGGAGGGUCCGAAAGCUGGCGACCCAGGGAGGAGAGGUCUUGUUCUGGUGUGAGGGUCGUGGAGCUGCAGACCCAGGGAGGAGCAAUUUUGUUGUAAUUCAAGGGUCCAGUAGCUGGCAACCCAGGGAAGAGAAGUGUUGUUGGAGUUUGAGGGUCGUGGAGCUGCCGACCCAGGGAGGAGCAAUUUGGUUGUAAUUCGAGGGUCAGGAAGCUGGCGACCCAGGGGAGGAGAGGUCUUCUUCUGGUCUGAGGGUCGUGGAGCUGCAGACCCAGGGAGGAGCAAUGUUGUUGUAAUUCGAGGGUCUGGUAGCUGGCAACCUGGGGAGGAGAAGUCUUGUUCGAGUUUUAGGCUGGUGGAGCUGCUGAUCAGGGAGGAGCAAUUUUGUUGUAGUUCGAGGGUCAGGAAGCUGGUGACCCAGGGAGGAGAGGUCUUGUUUUAGUUUGAGGUUGUUGGAGGUGCAGACCCAGGGAGGAGCAAUAUUGUUGUAAUUCGAGGGUCUGGAAGCUGGAGACCCAGGGAGGAGAGGUCUUGUUCUAGUUUGAGGGUCGUGGAGCUGCCGAACCAGGGAGGAGCAAUGCUGUUGUAAUUGGAGGGUCCGGAAGCUGGCGACCCAGGGAGGAGAGGUCUUGUUCUAGUUUGAGGGUCGUGGAGCUGCCGAACCAGAGAGGCGCAAUUUGGUUGUAAUUGGAGGGUCCGGAAGCUGGUGACCCAGGGAGGAGAUGUCUUGUUCUGGUCUGAGGGUCGUGGAGCUACAUAUCCAGGGAGGAGCAAUGUUGUUGUAAUUCGAGGGUGUGGUAGCUGGCAACCUGGGGAGGAGAAGUCUUGUUCGAGUUUGUGGCUCGUGGAGCUGCCGACCAGGGAGGAGCAAUUUUGUUGUAGUUCGUGGGUCAGGAAUCUGGCGACCCAGGGAGGAGAGGUCUUGUUUUAGUUUGAGGGUUGUGGAACUGCAGACCCAGGCAGGAGCAAUGUUGUUGUAAUUCAAGGGUCCGGAAGCUGGUGACCCAGGGAGGAGAGGUCUUGUUCUAGUUUGAGGGUCGUGGAGCUGCCGACCCAGGGAGGAGCAAUUUGGUUGUAAUUGGAGAGUCCGGAAGCUGGAGACCCAGGGAGGAGAGGUCUUGUUCUAGUUUGAGGGUCGUAGAGCUGCAGACCCAGGGAGGAGCAAUUCUGUUGUAAUUCGAGGGUCUGGAAGCUGGAGACCGAGGGAGGAGAGGUCUUGUUGUAGUUUGAGGGUCGUGGAGCUGCCGAACCAGGGAGGAGCAAUGUUGUUGUAAUUGGAGGGUCCGAAAGCUGGCGACCCAGGGAGGAGAGGUCUUGUUCUGGUGUGAGGGUCGUGGAGCUGCAGACCCAGGGAGGAGCAAUUUUGUUGUAAUUCAAGGGUCCGGUAGCUGGCAACCCAGGGAAGAGAAGUGUUGUUGGAGUUUGAGGGUCGUGGAGCUGCCGACCCAGGGAGGAGCAAUUUGGUUGUAAUUCGAGGGUCAGGAAGCUGGCGACCCAGGUGAGGAGAGGUCUUCUUCUGGUCUGAGGGUCGUGGAGCUGCAGACCCAGGGAGGAGCAAUGUUGUUGUAAUUCGAGGGUCUGGUAGCUGGCAACCUGGGGAGGAGAAGUCUUGUUCGAGUUUGAGGCUGGUGGAGCUGCUGAUCAGGGAGGAGCAAUUUUUUUGUAGUUCGAGGGUCAGGAAGCUGGUGACCCAGGGAGGAGAGGUCUUGUUUUAGUUUGAGGGUGGUGGAGCUGCAGACCCAGGGAGGAGCAAUUUGGUUGUAAUUCGAGGGUCUGGAAGCUGGAGACCCAGGGAGGAGAGGUCUUGUUCUGGUUUGAGGGUCAUGGAGCUGCCGAACCAGGGAGGAGCAAUUUGGUUGUAAUUGGAGGGUCCGGAAGCUGGUGACCCAGGGAGGAGAGGUCUUGUUUUAGUUUGAGGGUUGCGGAACUGCAGACCCAGGCAGGAGCUAUGUUGUUGUAAUUCAAGGGUCCGGAAGCUGGCGACCCAGGGAGGAGAGGUCUUGUUCUAGUUUGAGGGUCGUAGAGCUGCCGACCCAUGGAGGAGCAAUUUGGUUGUAAUUCGAGGGUCAGGAAGCUGGCGACGCAGGGAGGAGAGGUCUUGUUCUGGUAUGAGGGUCGUGGAGCUGCAGACCCAGGGAGGAGCAAUUUUGUUGUAAUUCAAGGGUCCGGUAGCUGGCAACCCGGGUAGGAGAAGUCUUGUUCGAGUUUGAGGGUCGUGGAGCUGCCGAACCAGGGAGGCGCAAUUUGGUUGUAAUUGGAGGGUCCGGAAGCUGGUGACCCAGGGAGGAGAUGUCUUCUUCUGGUCUGAUGGUCGUGGAGCUACAUACCCAGGGAGGAGCAAUGUUGUUGUAAUUCGAGGGUGUGGUAGCUGGCAACCUGGGGAGGAGAAGUCUUGUUGGAGUCUGAGGCUCGUGGAGCUGCCGACCAGGGAGGAGCAAUUUUGUUGUAGUUCGUGGGUCAGGAAUCUGGCGACCCAGGGAGGAGAGGUCUUGUUUUAGUUUGAGGGUUGUGGAACUGCAGACCCAGGCAGGAGCAAUGUUGUUGUAAUUCAAAGGUCCGGAAGCUGGAGACACAGGGAGGAGAGGUCUUGUUCUAGUUUGAGGGUCGUAGAGCUGCAGACCCAGGGAGGAGCAAUUCUGUUGUAAUCCGAGGGUCUGGAAGCUGGAGACCCAGGGAGGAGAGGUCUUGUUGUAGUUUGAGGGUCGUGGAGCUGCCGAACCAGGGAGGAGCAAUGUUGUUGUAAUUGGAGGGUCCGAAAUCUGGCGACCCAGGGAGGAGAGGUCUUGUUCUGGUGUGAGGGUCAUGGAGCUGCAGACCCAGGGAGGAGCAAUUUUGUUGUAAUUCAAGGGUCCGGUAGCUGGCAACCCAGGGAAGAGAAGUGUUGUUGGAGUUUGAGGGUCGUGGAGCUGCCGACCCAGAGAGGAGCAAUUUGGUUGUAAUUCGAGGGUCAGGAAGCUGGCGACCAAGGGGAGGAGAGGUCUUCUUCUGGUCUGAGGGUCGUGGAGCUGCAGACCCAGGGAGGAGCAAUGUUGUUGUAAUUCGAGGGUCUGGUAGCUGGCAACCUGGGGAGGAGAAGUCUUGUUCGAGUUUGAGGCUGGUGGAGCUGCUGAUCAGGGAGGAGCAAUUUUGUUGUAGUUCGAGGGUCAGGAAGCUGGUGACCCAGGAAGGAGAGGUCUUGUUUUAGUUUGAGGGUGGUGGAGCUGCAGACCCAGGGAGGAGCAAUUUGGUUGUAAUUCGAGGGUCUGGAAGCUGGAGACCCAGGGAGGAGAGGUCUUGUUCUAGUUUGAGGGUCGUGGAGCUGCCGAACCAGGGAGGAGCAAUGCUGUUGUAAUUCGAGGGUCCGGAAGCUGGCGACCCAGGGAGGAGAGGUCUUGUUCUGGUGUGAGGGUCGUGGAGCUGCAGACCCAGGGAGGAGCAAUUUUGUUGUAAUUCAAGGGUCCGGUAGCUGGCAACCCAGGGAAGAGAAGUGUUGUUGGAGUUUGAGGGUCGUGGAGCUGCCGACCCAGGGAGGAGCAAUUUGGUUGUAAUUUGAGGGUCCGGAAGCUGGAGACCCAGGGAGGAGAGAGGUCUUGUUCUCGUCUGAGGGUCGUGGAGCUGCCGACCCAGGGAGGAGCAAUUUGGUUGUAAUUCGAGGGUCAGGAAGCUGGCGACCCAGGGAGGAGAGGUCUUGUUCUGGUUUGAGGGUCAUGGAGGUGCUGACCCAGGGAGGAGCUGGUGCUGCUUUUUAAAUUUGAGGGUCGUGGAGCUGGG